UGUGCAAUGAUGAGAUUAAGUGCCUUAAGGGGGUGUUUAGGACAGUGGAAUAAAGGGACGCACUUAGUUGUUGCGUCUUUCCGUGAGUCUUACUACAAAACGACUUCUCCUUCCACUGAGCAUA